rnacentral:lncRNA from 1 species
GAAAUUGUACACUUUCUUAUAUUUCAAUUGUCUCUUUGUUUUUUAGAUAUUGAUUUUUUUAAUAAUUACAUGUACUAGAAUUUUAUAGAAACCAAUCUCGUUAAUCCUUAUAUUCAUAGUUUGGCCCCCAAAUAAUCCCUCUUCUCUGUCUUUCAAGUCCGAAAUCAAUUCCAAAUACUCAAACCAGAACGCCACAAGAAACACUUCAGGUACGUUCAUGGCUUAUUGCUUUCCUAUACUUUCACUUUGUUGGGUUUUUCUUUGUAAUUUUGUUUUGUUCGCAAGCUUAUGGGUUAAAAUAUCAGAUAUUACUAUUGAAUUGUCAGCCAAAAAUUGUAAGUAAAGCUGAACAAGUUAUGUUACUUAAGUAAUUAAGUGUUCUUUUUUUGUUUAAUAUCAAGUUUUUGGGUUUCUAGAGCUGAUGGGUUUUCCCCAAAAAUUAGUUUUUCUCAACCAGUUUGGCUACCCAAAGCUCAAAAUUCAGUUGUUCUUUGGUGAAUUGGUUGUUGGUUCCAAAAGGCAAUUUGCAUUUGUUAUCAAAUUGAAGCAUAAAAAAUGUGUACUUACGGUUAUUUUGUAACAGCAAAAACUUUAAAUGCUAUAAGCUAAUUGCACCAAAUACUUAUUGUAGUGAUUAAUAGAACUAUUAAAAUUACAUUUUUUAAAGCACAUAAAAAAGUACUUUCCGAGAAGCAGCCGCACUCCCAAACUGGCAGAGUGACUAUGGGAAAUACAGGGUUGGUAUUUUGUAGUAUAGAUAGGGGCGGAUGUUAUAGGGUACCAGUUUCAUCUGAAUCCGGUACUUUUUUGCGGAGCAUAAAUUUAUGUGUAAAAAUUCACUAAAGUUACAAGAUAUAAUAGAUAUGAACCCAUUUAUAAAAAUAUGAUGGGUUCAAUGCUAAGAACCUUAAAGGUUGAAUCUUUCUUUAAAAAAAAACCCUUAAAAGUUGAACCCAUAGAAUUGAAAUCUUGAAUCCGUCUCUGAAUGUACAUAUAGAUAAACGCGAAAUAACUGUUCUGUUGCAUGUCGACUGUAUAUAUAUGAGAGACUGUCGACGGUAUAUAUGAGACUGUGGAAGUGACAUGAUUUAUCAUUUUAUAGAAUAGAUGUAGAUAGCUUCUUUUAAAGGAGGGAUUGGACAGAUCAAUUUAACUCUUUUCGAGCGCUUAUUUGAAAACAGUAGUGGACAACUUUCACUCUUGUUCUGCUAUUACCUCAAUUAGCUGCAUGGCAUUUGUUCAAAGUCCAUGAUAGGUUAGCUUAAGGAUAGGACUUUUCCUCCAAUUCUAUCUGCCUUUUAGUCUCCUCCCAACAUAGUUUCUCUCAAAGAUGCAAAAUUAGUACAAAUCAUGUCUUAUUAUUAGCCUUUAUUUUCCAAGAAUAUGACUGGCACCCAUAUUACCUGCCAAGUAACAUUAACCUUCCCAUUUAUCAUGUCAGUGAUCAUCAUUGAAUCUGAUUCAACGAUCACAUGAUGUAAUCCAUUAGUAGAAUACCUUUCCAGUUCCACAAGAAUAGCUCUCGCUUCUGCUACAUUAUUUCUGAAAUUCUUAAAUACCGAACCGAAGUACCAAACACCCCCGAAUGAGAUUUUCUUCCCAAAAGUCACACUCUUUGUGCAGGUUUUAGUGUGACAAGAUUGGGUGGUGUAGAACUAUCAUUUAGUGUCUUAUGAUGAUCAUCUACAGAUAUAAGAAAUUUAAUGUGUCGUAUUCGUGCUACAAUACUAUCUACUGUAAUGUCAUAUUAUAUUAGUAUUUUUUCCACUUUCUCGUUUAUAGCCAUCAGUGUAGCCUUUAAUGGAUCCGAUCGUUCUUCUUUAGUUGUUUAUUCUUUGUUACUAAACUGGCAUAAAUUUGUUAUUUUAUCAGAUCAAAAAUUUGAAGUGCGAAUAACCUAUCCUUGAAGAAAGUGUAGAGCAAGUUGAAGUACAAGAGGUUUUGGUUCGUCAGCGAUGGUUUAAAGACACUGUCUUAUGUACAUAUAUAUGCUGCAAUUUUACUUUUUUUGUUUUUAGGAAUUAUUAAUAAUUAUGCUUUAGUUCUUUGUAUUAACAAGAUAUCAAGUAUUUGGUUAAUUUUCCAAUGUUGUUGAGUGUGUAUGAAUGCAUAUAAAUAAUUAUUACUAUUCAUGUAAUUUAAAUUUUC